GAUGAACGCUAGCGGCAGGCUUAACACAUGCAAGUCGAGGGGUAACAGGGAGUGCUUGCACUCCGCUGACGACCGGCGCACGGGUGCGUAACGCGUAUGCAACCUACCUUUUACAGGGGGAUAGUCAAGAGAAAUUUUGAAUAAUACCCCAUACGAUCAUCAAUACACAUGUAUAGAUGAAGAAAACUUUUGUGGUAAAAGAUGGGCAUGCGUCCUAUUAGCUAGAUGGAGAGGUAACGGCUCCCCAUGGCGACGAUAGGUAGGGGUCCUGAGAGGGAGAUCCCCCACACUGGUACUGAGACACGGACCAGACUCCUACGGGAGGCAGCAGUGAGGAAUAUUGGACAAUGGAGGCAACUCUGAUCCAGCCAUGCCGCGUGCAGGAAGACUGCCCUAUGGGUUGUAAACUGCUUUUAUACAGGAAGAAACACUCCCUCGUGAGGGAGCUUGACGGUACUGUACGAAUAAGGAUCGGCUAACUCCGUGCCAGCCGCCGCCGUAACAC
rnacentral:rRNA from 1 species